AUCAUCAUCAUCAGAAGAGUCAUUGCCAAUUCCAGAAGAGAAAGAGAGAUCAACACAGGACGAGGAUGAUGUUGCGGAGGUGAUUUGUCUUGUCAGAGACUUGUGUUUGACAGACAGCCACAAGCAAGAAUAUGAGGCCGCCAUGCAGGAACAAAAGGAAUAGGAGGAAAUGGAGAACGGGGGAGGAUAACAAGACCCUCAGACCCGUCUGCGGUCAUCAAGGAUGGCUCAGUUGGCACUGAAGAGUGACGGCCAACAUGUUUACAGUUUGUUUUGUUCAAGUUUUCUUUGUUCUUCUUUGUUGUUUGAGGUAAGAGGGAGCACCGAUGUGAUUAAAACUCUUUGUGUGCA